rnacentral:rRNA from 1 species
GCCCUACCGAUGUCUACUAGUUGUUGGAGAGUAAAUCUCUUAGUACGCAGCUAACGCGUGACGUAGACCGCCUGGGAGUGCGUUCGCAAGAUUAUAACUCAAAGGAAUUGACGGGGGCCCGCACAGGCGGUGGAUUAUGUGGAUUAAUUCGAUGCAACGCGGAAAAACCUUACCUGGCAUUGACAUGUAGCGAACUUAGCAGAGAUGCUUUGGUGCCCGAAAGGGAACGCUAACACAGGUGCUGCAUGGCUGUCGUCAGAUCGUGUCGUGAGAUGUUGGGUUAAGUCCCGCAACGAGCGCAACCCUUGCCAUUAAUUGCCAUCAUUUAGUUGGGCACUUUAAUGGGACUGCCGGUGACAAACCGGAGGAACGUGGGGAUGACGUCAAGUCCUCAUGGCCCUUAUGGCCAGGGCUUCACACGUAAUACAAUGGUCGGUACAGAGGGUUGCCAACCCGCGAGGGUGAGCCAAUCCCAGAAAGCCGAUCGUAGUCCGGAUUGUAGUCUGCAACUCGACUGCAUGAAGUCGGAAUCGCUAGUAAUCCCGGAUCAGCAUGUCGCGGUGAAUACGUUCCCGGGCCUUGUACACUCCGACCGUCACACCAUGGGAGUGGGUUUCACCAGAAGUAGUUAGUCUAACCGCAAGGAAGACGAUUACCACGGUGGGAUUCAUGACUGGGGGGGAGUCGUAACAAG